UACGUAGGGGGCGAGCGUUGUCCGGAAUUAUUGGGCGUAAAGCGCACGUAGGCGGCUUAGCAAGUCGGAUGUGAAAUCCCUCGGCUCAACCAAGGAAGUGCAUCCGAAACUGCAGAGCUUGAGUACUUAAGAGGAUCGCGGAAUUCCCGGUGUAGAGGUGAAAUUCGUAGAUAUCGGGAGGAACACCAGUGGCGAAGGCGGCGAUCUGGGAAGAUACUGACGCUGAGGUGCGAAAGCGUGGGGAGCAAACAGG
rnacentral:rRNA from 1 species